rnacentral:rRNA from 1 species
CAGGGGACGUGGAUAACCUCGGGAAACACUGAAGGAUAAACCGCGAUAGGUCACUACUUCUGGACAUGGGUAAUGAACCAAACCUAUAUGGCCCCUGGGAUUUGGACUGCGGCCGAUCAGGCUGUUGGUGAGGUAAUGGCCCACCAAACCUGUAAACCGGUACGGGCUCUGAGAGGAGGAGCCCGGAGAUGGGCAACUGAGACAAGGGCCCAGGCCCUAUGGGGCGCAGGCAAGGGCGCAGAAAACCUCUGCAAUAGGCGAAAGCAUUGACAGGGUUUACUCUGAGUGAUUUCCGUUAAGGAGAUCUUAAGGCACCUCUAAAAAUGGUGCAGAAUAAGGG